rnacentral:sRNA from 1 species
GAUCAUUAAGAAUUACCGGCGAGGGUUGUAGCUGGCCUUUCGGGGCACGUGCACGCCCGAGCCUUUAAUCCACAUACACCUGUGAACCCAAUGUAAGGGCCCCGUAAAAGGGUCCCCUACGUCUUCCAUAGACGCAUGUUUAAUAGAAUGUAAACUCGUAUCCUCGCCUUAAAAAGCGUCGAUAAAACUUUUACAACUUUCAACAACGGAUCUCUUGGCUCUCGCAUCGAUGAAGAACGCAGCGAAAUGCGAUAAGUAAUGUGAAUUGCAGAUUUUCAGUGAAUCAUCGAAUCUUUGAACGCACCUUGCGCUCCUUGGUAUUCCGAGGAGCAUGCCUGUUUGAGUGUCAUUAAACCUUCAACCCUGAUUUGAAUUUUUUCUACUCGGGAGUUUGGACUUGGAGCGUGCUGGCGCGAGUCGGCUCCUCUGAAAUGCAUCAGCGGAAACCAAAUCCUUGGCUUUCUGGAUGUCAGUGUGAUAAUUGUGUUGCGCUGUCGUUCGAAGCUUUAAGGUCCGCUUACAAUGGUCUUCGGACGAUUCAUCUCACUUGACCUCAAAUCAGGUAGGACUACCCGCUGAACUUAAGCAUAUCAAUAAGCGGAGGA